UAGUUAUGAAACUCAACAAAUUGAAGUCGAUUAUAACAGAUAAUUAUAGAAAAGAACGAAAGAGGAGGUGGGAAAAGUAGAUCAUAUUUAAGUGAAAGAAGUUAUAACCAUAGACACCAACGCUAAUCGAGUUCCCCUUCCAAAAGUACACAGAAGGCCAAGUUAAGACCAGCAAAGCAGACACACUUAACACAUAAAACAAGCCAUCAAACUCCAGGAAAUUAAAUCCUCAUACAAGGAUUUUGAUUACCUAUGGCUGUUUUAUUUACAGCAGCAAGCCGACAACUAUUUUACAUAUUCAUUAACAAACCCUUUUGCAUCCUUUUUUUUUUUUGGGGAUUUAUUAAAAACAUCAAGUACAGGCUUUGCUAGGUCCAUGUCCAUGCUGCUUUCUCAUUUGCAGUUGCAUGGAUCACAGCUGCAGCUUGAUCCACACUUGCACCCAUUUCCACUCUCAGCACCAAAGUUCAACUCAGUACCCUCAUAGGACCUGCAAAAACCACACCAGCUCUCAAUUUUUUGUACAAUCAAGAAUCUAACUUCGAUUUGGCUGCGUAAAUAGAAUUUCUCCGAACUUGAUUAGGGUCUCAAAUUCAAACUCAAAAUGAUUGUGAUUCUUACAUCUUAGGAGGUGCAACUCCUGCGAUGAGAGUCUCAGUUCUGGUGUUCUCUGAGAUGUCAGGGUACAUGCCACAGCUGCAAGAAUUCAAGAAGAUGAGGGAAGAAAGAUUAAAGAGAAACUCUUAGGAAGUUUGUUUGGUGCAUGAGAAACAAUUUUCCAAGAAAAAGAAACUCUUACCCGUUGCAGCCGCUGCCGCACUUGCAUCCAGAGCCACAGCCACAGUUUCCUCCGCAGCAAGACAUUUUCUUUAGGGAUUUGGAAGAGGCUUAUCACUUGACAAUUGAAUUCUUCAACUAUAGGAUGAUUCAUAAGGCCCUUGCCUCAGCUCGAAUUUAUCGCGCGGUUGGAGCUGAAAGUCUUUCAUAUCCACCAUACACGUGGAAACAUCUAACGUCAGUAACGUCUGUGUGGCAGGUUCUAUCUCCCCUAGGUAAGAACCGACAAAUCUCUCUCUCUUUGUCUCUCUAACCUUUCUUUCUUUGUCAUCACAAAUCAUAAUAUUUGAAAUAUAUUAAUUAUCUUGCUUAUGACGUGUACGAUAAUUGGUUAGUUUUUUUAUUAAAUCAAUUAAUUGGCUUCUUCUAAACAAAAUCUUAACACCUCUAGUGUUUGAACAAAAUAAAAAAAAUGAUUUCUUUUAUAAUUUUUAAUUUAUAUUAAUAUGCUUGGUAACCCUUCAAAUUGAAUAGAUAAUAUAAUUAAACCGAAUCGAACAUUUAGAAAUAAAAUUAACAACAAAUAGAAAUUAAUUUAGGGUCAAGGAAUUAAUGCUUACUAAAAAAGAAGUAUUACUUGUUUUAAAAAAAAAAGGGUAUUAUUUUUUUCCAGUAGACAAAGUUGUCUGAAUCACAGAGAAAAGGAUGCAAUUAUUUUCUACAAGGAUUAUUAUCACUUUCAUGGAAGAAAUCAAGAGAACAAGUUAAAUUGAAGCCGACAAUUAGAAUAUAUUAUUAUUUUUGGUAACGUAGAACCAUUUUAAAAAUAAGUAAAUACUUUUUCAAUUGAAAUAAGAAAAAAAUAAAAAUAUGUAUGAAGGAUGUAAACGUCAGCUAGAUAUUAAGGCAUGAAUCUUGCAGCUUUGUACAUUAGCAAUUCACUCGCUUGAAUGUAUCAUUUCAUCUUUAACAUUGGCUUUUUAUAAUUCUGGGAUAUAGAUCCUUUUUUUUAAAUUAAAUAUAAAGAAUGCAAAUUAUUACCUUUUUUUUCUAGUUAAUCAUGUUAUGUUGUUUUUAUUUAUUUGAAUGUAAUGAAAAGCAUGCAGUUCUAAACUAGAAUGAAACAAUAGAAUUUUUGACAAGGAAAGUGGGAGAGAGUUACCCUACCCUACUGCUACAAAGAAAGAAGGAUAAAAUCAUAAUGAAAUGGGCAGAGAAUAAGAGGCUUUUGCUUUGGGAAUCCUUCACUUUUGUAGCAAAAAGAGUGGUGCAUGUGAUAUAGCUUUGGUGCUUCAGUUGCAGUGCUAUUUUCUUCAAUCAGAUACCCUGUCUUUAUAUCUAUGUCUAUGUAUAUAUUUUUUUACAAAAAAACUGCCUUUUUCUUCCCAAGCCCAAUGCACUUUUCUUAUCUUCUUUUAUUUGUUUAACAUUUAGGACCUUCAGUUCCUUUUCAGAAGAUCUGUUUCGGCAUUUUGCGACUUGUGCAUGCUGCAGCUGCGGGGGUCCUAAAUGUCUUAAAUGAGCUAAAGACAUGCUUAGAAGCUAAAACUACAACUAUUAGUAGAGCUACAGCCUAAUUUUCAUGGACAGUACACAACUCCACUUUGGUGGGCAUUGAAUUUCCUGUAUCCUUUGAAUGUGUGAAUUCUUCUCUUCCUAACUUCAACAUCUUGUCUACCUUCCUUUUUUUUUCCCUCGUCAAUGAGGGGAUUAUUUUAUUUACUAGCUAUUUAUUGCGUGUUCCCACUAGCUUCAUAAUUCAUCAUUAUUUUGAUCCUCAAAUUCAAAAAGUACCUGUAUUGAAGUAUGAAGAUAGAAGAUAGGAUCUUCCAUAUCUGGGUACAAGCUCCAUCGUUUAGAUAAGGGACUCAUGACAAAACCCACUAUUGUUGAUUUUUCUGCCGCAUUUGUUUUAUGCAAUUCACAUGCAUCAUGCAUGCCCAUCUGAUUUUGGACCACAUACCAGGACAAAAAGAAGUGCAUGAUAGGAAUAGUAGCUCAAGAGAGCUGCCACCAUUGAAUUGGGUCUUUACUCUCACCCAUGGGAAUAUUUAUGAAUGACCUACAUAUAAUGAUUGUGACGAGAGAGGGAGUUUAUCUUUAAAAUAGGACCAUGAUAGUCAACAAAAUAGUGAAUGAGCUUCAUGCUUGAGGUCCUAAGGUAUUAAAAUCCCACUGAUUUUUUUUUUCUAAGACAUUUGAAUCCCAUUUCAUGCAUUAGUGGGGCAUUCUAUCUACUGUCAGGUCUGAUGCUGCUGAGAAGGUUUGGCCGGUAAGAAGCUUAAGAUUAGAUAGAUGUUAUGCUGACGUGCAUAUCAGAUUUCCAUGAUUGAGAUGCGGGAAAUGGGUUGAAAGGACACAGGACUCAAAUGCGGACAACCGGUGGUAGUAGGUAACUCCAACAAGAUUGAUCUCAAUUAGAUAUUAUGGGGCCAGCAGUUAAAUAAAUCAUACAAAGAAACAUGUCAGUUACAUCUGAAAUUUCUAAAAUUCUUGACAAGGAGCACCCAUUGCCGAGGCACCUUCAAUAGCCAACUGCUUGUCCUGCAAUUCCUGCACAAGCUUAGUUUUCAAGGUGCCCCAGGUGCCAUAUGAAACUCGAUAUGCUGGGCAUAAAUUUUUUGUAAAACCUAUCAUAAACAGAACUAGUAUUCCUAUCAAAUUUGUCAUGAACAGUCGAUUUUAACUAAACCAAGUCUCUGCAAUUUCACACUAUCCAUAAGCAUCCUAAGACCAGCUUUUAGUUCUGGUACCCCUUCCUCCAAGACGGCACAAACUGGAUAUAUAGGAACAUCUUGAACUCUUCUUUUCAAUUCUUCAUAUACUUCAUCAGCCCCUGCCUCAUCAAUUUUAUUCGCCACAACUAAGGAGGGCCGAUCAGACAGGCCCUCUUGAUGAUGCUCAAGCUCCAAAACUAAAUCUUUCAAUUGUUCCCACGGUGGAAAUCCCUUUCUGCCAUCUAAUCCAGCAGCCAAGUCUAGCACAUAAGCUAAAACCUUAGUACGUUCAAUGUGCCGUAGGAAAGCAUGUCCAAGUCCACGAUUCUCGUGAGCACCUUUUAUGAGUCCUGGAAUGUCAGCCACUGUGAUUGAGAAGUCAUCAAAAUUCAGUUUUCCUAAAUUUGGCCUAAGUGUCGUGAAGGCAUAAUGACCCACCCUAGGUUUUGCUCUGGAUAAAGCUCCUAAAAGAGUACUUUUACCAGCAUUUGGCAUUCCAACGAGGCCCACAUCAGCAAUGCUUUUCAGUUCCAGCAAAAGAACAGCCUCUGAGCCAGGCAACCCAAUGCUAAGGCAGGAUUGAUCCUCACUGACAUAUCAGGAUCCAAGACCAUAUCCCUAUUGACUCCAGGCUUACUUAACUUGGCCUUCUUUGAAACAUCAGGAGAAGACACAUUACCCAAACCACCCUCCCCUCCACGAGCAACAAUUAUUUGCUGACCCAGUUUUGUUAACUCUGCAACAUCAUAGUGUAUAUGUUCCACACCUGCUGGCUCUCUUUGAAUGGCUUGUAUGCUUGCAAAUUCCUCUGAAGUUCCUUUAGCUUGUGUUAAUGAGCCACCAGAAAUAUCCGAUGGCUCAGCUUCUUUUUCCAUGUUUGUGCUCUUAGAGACAGACUGCCAGUGAGAUUCUGAUUGAUCAGUAUGGAGAGUGCCUGGAAGUUCCCACGGGUCCAAGUCUGUUUUGGAACAGUUUUGGACUGUAGAUGGAAGUUCACCCUUCAAAAGAUGAAUUACAGUCCCGAUAGGUACUUGCACAACCUACUACACACGAGUACUCAUGGUUAGAUAAACUGCCAAACAACAGGUGGCAUCAUAAAAUCUUGCCGUUUAUAGAACUUAUAAAUAGUAACCUUAUCCUCCCCUCGAGUUCCUAUCAUACUCUUUGAAGCUCCAUUCCCCCCUCUCGCUGCAUUCUAUACAAUAAAGGCAGAACUUGAGUGUCCUCAUGCAAUAAUACUAGUAGAGUUGAAAAAAUACUGGAAAGGUAAGGACUACAUACAACAUGAUGGUGUAAACCACUCAAGUCCCAGAUUGCAGGGGAACACUCUAAAAUCACAUCACCACCUCUUCCACCUGUAUUAUUGAAUCCACAUGAACCAGAAUGCUACCAGAAAGACUAUUUCACAAAUUUUAAUGCACUUGCUCGUAAACACCAUGCAAUAAUCAGCUAAAUUUAUGAAGUUCAACGGAAAUAAUGACGAUGAAAGGGAAAAAAUUGAACCCAGUAUGAAGAUUGAGAAACUAGAUAAAUUAUGAUUAAAGAAAAAUAACCAUAAUAAUAUUGUAUCCACUUGGUUUUUAGUAUCACAUCUAGCAUACUUAAUGCUGUUAUAAAACUUGAUCUAAUAAACAUACCAUCAGGUCUGCCGGGGAUCAUGUUGACUUCGGCGAAAACUGGAGCAACCCUUUCCACCAUCACCUCCCUUAGCAUGUAGUGUAAACCUAUCUCUCAUUCUGGUUUCCUACAAAUAGCACCCUAAUAACCCUUUACUAAGAUGAACAAGUAGUAAAAAAAUCAAGAAAUGAUUACACAGAAUUAUGUGAAGCUAUUAGGGUUAUAAAAAUGUGAGAAAUAGGGAAGAAACAAAUAGAUUGGCAGACCUGCAAAGGGGCACACUUUGCUUUUGUGUGAGUAGCGUCUGAACAAGAGAACAAAGACAAAUAGAUCCAUGGAGAUUUAGAAGAUUUUCUCAAGGCAUCUAUGUGGCAAAAGGAUUUUGCGCAGCGUAACCGCAUAACUCUCUUUUUCCUGUCUAGAUAUCCUUCAAAUCCUCCUCAAAUGGAAAAAGUUCGCAUUCAAUUUUUUGCUUAUCUCUGCAACCUAUAGAAAGAAAUAUCUUAGAUACUGAUACAGCAACAGAGACAUUCCUGGAAAAUUGUAAACCAAACCAUGCCACAAUGCAGAUGCUGAACAUGACCCAUACAAGAUAACUAAAGAAAUUGAUAUUUACAGCACUUCACAGCCAGUUCCAACGAAAAGAAUCCGCCUUCCUUUAUUAUAACAUGUCCAGAUAAUCAUAAAAACAAAAUAAGUAUCACUUUUAACAAUCACAUUUACCAAAAUUUGCUAAAUUGUCAGUUGCAAGCAAAGUAAAAGCUUUAUUAAGCCCAACAACUUGUGCCAUAAACAGACCAACAACUGAAACAAUAUGCUAGAAAGGAAUUUGAGAUAACCAAAUAAAAGAUGAAAUAUUCAGGAAUGAGCACAUACAGGCAUCUAAAGGAAACAGACAUUCAAAACAUUCAUCAAAUCAAUAAUCAACAAGAAAAUUGAAUUUUAACAACAAAGAGAGUGGAGAAGGCUAAUAUGGUGUAUUUAACACAAAAUGAAAGAAACUAAAAGACCAAAUUGAUUGAACUUAUAUUCAUCUAAGACCCUUGAAUAAAACUUUCUUUCAGUUUACGGAAAAAAAAAAUUGUUUAGUGAUAAUGAAAACUAAUGGAGUCAAAGGAAAAUGUCCAUUGUUAAAAGAAUUGAACCCAUUCAUAGGAUUCCUCACCAGGCCUUGCAAGGAGUCUCCUUGGCCAUGGUUCUAACAUUAAUGACCAUUCUAAUGCCACCAAUGAGCUUUGGUUUGAUAUUAGGGUCAUCAGCUUGAACCAUUAAAAAAAAGGAACAAAGAAAUAACCAUUCUAAUGUUGUAGGGGGCCAGGGAUUUUAUGGUUACUGUUAGGAUCCCGUGUAGGAUGUAGUUGUGGGUUGUGUGACGAGUCUUUUGGCAAGAUAGGAGAAAACAAGGAUGGAUUUUCUUUUUGCGAUCUAUUUUGAAAAGCUGUCAGGCUUAUCAGGGAGAACAUGCAACCUCUUGAGUUUAAAGUACUCAAAGACCUUUUUGAAAUUUUUUUAGCUAACGUUUAUUAACCUGCUGUCAAUUUAAAUACAAGUUGGAGUUUUAACUCUCUCCUAAAAAAUAAGAACUUAAAAUAGCAUAAUAGAAGCUAACCUCGUACAAAUCAGAAUUUGAAAAUAACUAAAAAAAAUAUGGAAAUAACUAAAUAACUAAACAAAAUAUGCUGGUAACAUCAUAAGACCCAUGAUCUUAGCCACUAUCCAUUACUAUGCAUAAACUCAUAAUCUAUGCCACUAUCCAUUGUUGAAUAACUAUCCAUUAUUGCAUCAAUGACGAAGAAUCUAUUGGAAUGGUGGUUUGCUAACAUUAGUCCCCUCUUCCACUAUGCACUUGUCUUCAAGCGCAAGCUUAGGAAAUUUCUAGGAACUAUUUAGCCAGUGGCUGGUCUAUUGUGACAUCUCCUGGGUCAUCAUCUGCUAACUCCAACUAACUCCAACCAGAAUAGUUUUUUGCACCAGUUUUUGAAAUAUUCCCAUGUCAAGUUCGGAUAGUCUUGUAACAAUUGUAGGAACUAUAGUUGUGUUAUACCCUCCAAGUGAAAUGAAGCUAGAUUAACCUUCUUCUCUUUUGAAGUUUGUUAAUGUUGGAAAAAUUGAUCAUAUCUGUUGAGCCACCCUAAAGGAUCCUCCCGUCCAUUGAAACGGGUAAAUUUUGAAACAAUGGUACUUCUACUUGAAUUUUCAGAACCUAUUACUCCUUUGGCCUUUUGGGUGCGAGAGUGACUACCAAUUUUUGUGAGUUGUGCUGAAUUGACGAUAUCACAAGUGAGAGCUUCUAAUUUUUAAUUUAAUUCAUCAUGCCAGGCCUUAUUGGCGGCUUGCUCUUCUAAGAACAAGGUGAGAAUUCUGCCAAAUUGUUGCUGGAUAGAAUCCCCAUAAUCUCUAGCUCUGAUACCAAAUUGUUAGGAUCCCGUGUGUAGAAUCUAGUUAUAGGUUUGUAUAAUGAGUCUUUUAGCAAGAUAGGAGAAAGCAAGGAUAGAUUCUCUUUUUACAAUCUAUUUUGAAAAGUUGUCAAGCUCGUCUGAGAGAACCUGUAACCUCUUCAGUUUAAAGUACUAAAAGACUUUUUGAAAAUUUUUCUAACUGACGUUUAUUAAUAUGCUAUCAACUUCAAUACAAGUUGGAGUUUUAACUACAUCCUAACAAAUAGAAACUUAAAAUAGCACAAUGGAGACUAACCUCCUACAAAUCAGCAUUUGAAAAUAAAUAAACAAAACAUAGUGGUAACGUCAUAAAACCCGUGUUCUUAGCCACUACAUAUUACUAAUGCAUAAAUACAUAAUCUACGCCACUACCCACUACUGAAUAACUAUCCACUGAUGCAAACUACCCAUUGUUGCAUCAGUGACGAAGAAUCUGUUGAAUUGGUGGUUUGCUAAUAGUUACCUACUGAAAUUCAAGCAUUUUUUUAAUGGCACAACAAUAUUCUUCCACCUUCUUCGAAACGAAGGGAUGGAAAGGAAUUCAUCAGGAUGAUUGAAAGACAAUUAUCAACGUUGAUACAAUACUGAGAGAUACUUCUGGCUUGACUUUUAGCAGCUGAACAGCACACAAGAGACAGAAAUGUUGUCGUAUUAUUGUAAACAAGUUCAAUGCCGUCCCUGAAUCAAUUCCAGAUUGGGUAUUUGAUUUAUGACUAUGAAAGGUGGAUAUUUCAUUGCGAAUUAGCAAGAAUGGGUUUUAGAUGGUUUGCUUUCGAUAAUUGUGUUUGCCAUAUUAUCUUCACUUGGAACUCAAGAGUCAAUCCAUAGCCAAUACAGGUGAGCAGUGCUCAGUUCAGUCCAGACUAAAAAUGAGUAAAAAGCUGAAUCUAAUAGGAAAUAAAAUCAAACCGAACAAAGAGAAAAAAUGAUCUCAACUGGUUUAGUUUGGUUUGGUUCAUCUGUUUUACUUUUUCUUAUCUAUUUGCAGAACCCAUUUUCCUUUAGAAAAGGAAAAAAAUUAUACAAUACUCCCUGUACACUAAAAAUUAGUACUCAUCCUCAUAAAAAAUUAGUUAUUCCUAAAAUAAAAAAAGUGCCCUUAUACAAUUGUGCUUGUGCAGCUGGAGCUGCUAAUAAUCUCUCUUAGAGAAGAUCCAAGCAACAAGAGAGCAGCAAUUUCAGCUUUCAACUUAAACAUAGAAUAUUGUGUAUGUCUAGUUCUAACAAACAGAGCAUGUCAGAUACUAUAGUUGUACACAUAAACGGCAAUCCAUCUUGUCAUUUUGAUUACGAUAUUUGAAUUUUUACAAGGAAAACAAACAAAACACAACGAAAAUCAAAACCGAAACAGCAGAACCUCAGCUCAAUAUCGCACACAAGACUCGAAGCGCAAAGAAAACUUGAGAAAUGAUUCAGAAAAUUGAAAGAAAAUCUGGGUAGAGAAGUGAAGCAAAUGAGGGAAAGAGUGUUGACAUUUUAAAGAUGCUACAAAGGAAUUGAGUGAAACCAGGAACAGCAAAGGGUAAUGAUCGAUGAAACAACUGAACUUGGAGAGCCACAGACAGAAAAUAUGAACACUGGAGCUGCUUGUGUCGUUGAUGGAGGUAGUCGAGUUCAGAGGCCGUACAAGUGGUCCUUCGAGAGAAGAUAUUGAGAAAGGGAAGGAGAAUUGUUUGAUUAUAUAUUCUCACUUCGUCACCAAGAAAAACAAACUAUCAGUAUAUAGAAAUGUAAGUUUGUUUCAUCAUCUAUCAAAGCAAAUCAAAGUAAAAGUACCUUUCUUUGGAGAAAGUAAUUGGAACAUAAAUAGACAUCUAAAACUCAGUUUUAUUUCCAUAUCCUCAGAAACCGGCUCAUCUAAUUAAUUCACUUAAACAAUUAAACAAACCCCUAAUAUAUUUAGAAGAAGAGAAAGACAAAGAAACCUCAAGCGCGCGUUUGUUCAAUUUGAGCUUCCUCAAGCUGUUAAUGGCGUGAAAAAUGUCACCUCGAUAAAUUGGAAAGCCUUCGCGCAUCCAGCUUUGAUAGGCUAAACCAACCGAUUCUCCUCUAGCAAGCUUCUCAAUUCUCAAAGAUAAGCUCUUGGGUGCUUCUUGUUCUUCUGGUUCUAAUAUCUUCUUCUCGGGCGAACAAUUGCUAGUGUAGGUACAGAGAAAAUCGAAAUUGCGAGGAAUUUGGUAGAGAGGCGGACAACUGAUAGAAAGUGUUCGAUGAAUUGCUUGACAGAACCAGCGUCGGCCCAGAACGGCCAGCGCACGCAUGCUUCUUGUCCUUUUCGGGACCUGAAAGCGCGCUUACGCAAAAGAGCCAGAGAUCUUAUUUGAAAAAAGAUGCCGCCACAUGCAAAUGCUAAGAGCCCAAAGUCUUGCCCAGAAGAGAAACCAAAAUUGACGCUUAGCUGCCUACAAUCCAGCCCAGAAGAGAAACCGAAAUUGAAGCUUAGCUGCCUACAAUCCAGCCCAAGUCCUUUUCUGGGAUAUUUUGUCCACGCCAUUAAUAUUUAUAUAAAUUAUUGAAAAUUAAUAUAUGGAUGCAAAGUUCAAUGGAAAUUUGGAAUUGCAUUCUGCUCCCUAAAUUUCAUUGUGGAUAGACAAUUUUUAUUUAUCCAUGAAUCACAAAUGGGUUUGAUAUUUAUUCUCAAAUUUCUUAACAUUUAAAUAUCAAAUUUGAGAUACUAUAAGCACUAAUUAUCUUGUUUUUUUUCUUUGUGAUAGUGAUGAAGAAUAAUAAUGCAAUCAAAACAGAAUCGUAUGCCAUCUUUUCCUUUUUGUAUGGACGUAAACCACAGAAAAUCAUUUUUUAUAUUGUUUCUCCAAGUCCUUUUAUUUAUUACAUUUCAGGUAAUUAAUUAGAAAAAUAUCAUCAAUGAAAUUUAAACUCUAAAAUUUUAAUUAUCAUCAUUGAUUAAACUCUAUUUGACAAUACUAAUUGAUAUAAUAAUUGUUAUUGUCAAUAUAAUUAUUUAGAUAAUAGUUAAUCAAAUAUUAGAAUAAAUAAAUUUUCACAAUUCAGUUUCUUAAUCACUGAUUAUUAAAUAUUAUUUUGAAAAUUAUCACCGAGCAAACGCUUGGAGUUGUACAAUGUGGUGUGUAGGAUACAUGAUUGGUUUUGUAAUUAAUCAACUCAACAAGGGAAGAUAAACUAAUGGGUAAAAAGGUCAUCAUUAAUUCCAAGAUUGCCCUCUGCUGAACAAAGCCAAAGAAUAAAAAUAUAAAAAAGUAGGUUGAUGUAAUGUAAAGUGGAAAAGAAAUUGCAUCGCUUUGUAAUCAAGAUUACAAUGACAAAGAAAAAUGAAUUAGUGGCCACAUUGGAUUAGUAGAAUUUAGGUCAAAUCUAAUUAAUGGCCAACUAAUUUUUUUUUAAAAAAAAAAAAAAAUCAAGAACCCUUGCCAAAAAAGCUUUCUGUAGUAGUCCUUCAUGAUUGCUCUUUUUAUAGGUUCAUGUUGCCCCCUUUCCCCAACUCAGUCCAAAAUUUUCUGCUCCUGUAGUUCAACCUAAAAUUUCUAUUUAUCCACCCUUUUUUUCAUUCAUUUAUUUUAAUACUCUAUUUUUUUUCGUUUCUCAUUUUAUUUAAUAAUUAUAAUUGAGAAUUUCAUUUAUGGGAUUUAUUGAUAAAAAAAUUUAAUAAAAACUUUUUAACUUGUAUGUUUUUUGGGUAAUGUUGUGCCUGUGCGAAUUGUGAAUUUAACUUUUCAUGAAAUUUUAUGUUAUUACAUUCUGUGGCUAUGUGUGCAUGUUAUUAAUAAACUUUAUAUAAAAAUUAAGAAAAUAAAUUAAUUUCAAGUUUCAACUUCAAUACAAAGUGAUAUUGAAAGUGAUAAUCGAUCAUUCAUCAGGAAAGGAAAAAGGAAUUUAUCCGUUAACAUUAAUAUCUGGCUCUAUAUAUCAUCGUGAAUUAAUAUGUAGGCAAUGAUUUGGAUUUGUUUAUCUAGUUUGAUAAUAUAUAUAUCUUGCAAAUAAAAAAAAAUCCCUGUGAACUACUUCCAAAAUUUAAACUCUAGAUAGGAGUAAAUGCAGUGCCAACUUAACUGAUUUUGGAGUGUUUGAAAUAUUGGGUAAAACAAUAAAACCUGAAUCGUGUUGAACACUGUCUUUAAAGAUUUAUUUUAUGAUCCCCCAGGAUUAAACAAGUUCUUCUGAAAUAUACUUCUCAGGAUUAGAACAACAAGAAUUUAUCUCGAAUUUAUAACCCAGCAGGUAACAUAGAGAAAAUAAAUAAUAAAGAAGAAAAUUGGGAGUUUAUAUCUUUGUAAAGAGGAACACUAUUUAUUGUGGAAAACUUGACCGCUAUAUAUGGUUAUAAGAAUCUUGAAAUAAAAUCAUAACGGUUAUAUUUAAUAUUAUAUUUAAAUCUCAUAAAUAAAAUAUUUAAUGACCAUAAAAUCUUUAAUUACCAUAAAAUAUUUAACGACCAUAAAAUCUUUAAUUACCAUAAAAUCUCUAAUGACUAUAAAAUCUUUAAUAACUAUAAAAUCUUUUUGAAAUCUAAACUAAUUUUACAACAAUCCCCCACAGAUUUCAAAAGAUUUUCAUUGCUGGAUUUAGAAAUUUAGAGUGUAUGUUUCGAAUCUGGUGUCUUUUAUACUAUGAACCAGACCUAAAUUAAUAAUACUUAAUAUACAGAGUAAUUGGUGAAACUUUUGUUUCUAUGUACCAAAACUCUUUUUUAUAUGUUAAUUUCUCAUCAAUCUCAUAAUACUCCACAGAUCUUGUUGUCAACGCCGUUUUGCACUAAUAGGCCAUGCGCGCGCCUGGUAAUUCAUAAGUGCUCUAGAGAUUAUGCCACAAUCUCAUAGAAGCGGCCCCACUCCACACUUAUAUAGGUGAUAUCAUCAAGUGUAUACUGCAAUUUAUACACCACCCACAAGGGAUAUGAAUAUCAUUAAAAGAUUUCAUCUCAUCCUCUCAUUAAUGCAGUCUAGUACUUCUCACACCAUAGAAAGGGACAACAAUAAAUAGUGCUAUCAGAAUUAGAAGGUGAUUUGUUAUUACCCAUAUGAACCUUUUUCAUGGGAUCUCUAAUCGCAAAGGUUGGGUUACCAUCACUGUUAAUUUCAAACUGGCUUAGGUCCCAUUCCUCUCGAUGUUUCAUCUAUUAGUUUUCUCUCUAAAGAUUUAGUCAGAGAAUUGGCCAAAUUCACUUCUGACUUCACAUAAUCAAUGAAAAUAGUUCCAUCUUUCAGUAACUGCUUAACAACAUUAUGUCUCAGACGAAUAUGUUUAUUCUUACCAUUGAAAGUUUUAUUCUUUGCAAUGGCUAUUGCCGCUUGACAAUCACAACGCAUUGAUAUAGAUGGUGUUGAUAAAAAAUUCACUAAAUGCAACAAACUCCCAAUGAUCUAUGCAUAUUCAGACUCCAAUUUUCUUUAAUUGACAAUUAGGAUCAUAAGGGGUAGUUACUGGUUUAACAUUGAAAUGUCCAAACUUCCUUAGAAGCUUCUCAACAUAAUGCUCUUAUGAUAGCAUUGGACUAUCAUUCUUCCUUACGAUUCUAACUCUCAAAAUCACAUUUGUCUAUCCCACAUCUUUCAUAUCAAAUUUAGAGGCAAUGAAAGUUUUUGAUUUACAACUAUAUCAUAAUUUGUACCAAAAGUAAAUGCAUAUGAACAAAUAAUCACAGAUUCAUAAUUUAUACGUUCUGUAUAUACGCACUUAUCAAUCAUUUAUACAUUUUGUAUAUACACACUUAUCAACUUCAACAGAGAUAAAACCAUCAUUCAACAAAACUUAAUCAAAUUUCUCAUGCCACUGUUUGGAAACUUGUUUUAAACCAUAUAAUGAUCUAAGAAGUUUGCAGACUUUAUUUUCUUAACAAAAAAUAAUACAAUCAUUAGGUUGAACCAUAUAAAUUUCUUCUUCCAAGUCUCCAUUUAAAAAUGUUUUAACAUCCAUUUGAUAAAUAACAAGUUUAUGCUUAAAACCUAAAGCAAUUAAUACUUUAAUAGAAGAGAUUAUGUUUCAGGAAGUUAAAACAAGUGUAUGUAUAGAAGCUAAAGCAAACUUAUGAACUUGAGUUUAUAGGUUUCAGCAUAACUUAUAAACAUGCAAUCAAAAGUUUUUGAACAUAUUUUUCAUUUCUUAGGAUCAGGAAGAAUUGCUUUAGCAAGACACCCCCACACUUUUAAAUAUUUUAAAUUAGGUGUAUAACCUUUCUAAAGUUCAUAGGGUAUUUUAUCGGUUUUCUUAUAGGGUAUCAUAGUUUGUAGAUAACAAGCAGAUAAUAAAACUUCCCCCAAAAGUUAUUAGGUGAAGAAUAACUUAUUAAUAAAACAUUCAUCAUUUCUUUUAAUAUUCUAAUUUUUCUUUCCACUACUCCAUUGGAUUCAAGUGAAUAGGGUGGAAUAAAUUCAUAUAUGUUUCAGGAAGCUAAAACAAGUGUAUGUAUAGAAGCUAAAGCAAACUUAUGAACUUGAGUUUAUAGGUUUCAGCAUAACUUAUAAACAUGCAAUCAAAAGUUUUUGAACAUAUUUUUCAUUUCUUAGGAUCAUGAAGAAUUGCUUUAGCAAGACACCCUCACACUUUUAAAUAUUUUAAAUUAGGUGUAUAACCUUUCUAAAGUUCAUAGGGUAUUUUAUCGGUUUUCUUAUAGGGUAUCAUAUUUUGUAGAUAACAAGCAGAUAAUAAAGCUUCCCCCAAAAGUUAUUAGGUGAAGAAUAACUUAUUAAUAAAGCAUUCAUCAUUUCUUUUAAUAUUCUAAUUUUUCUUUCCGCUACUCCAUUGGAUUCAAGUGAAUAGAGUGGAAUAAAUUCAUAAAUUAUUCCUUCUUUUUUCACAAAAGUCAUUAAAUAAGAUACAUUCUCCACCUCUAUAUGAUUUUUUUUUAAAUUUUAAUUUUCCUCUUUAAUUGAUUCUCUACUCCAACUUUACACAAUUGAAAUAUAUCAAAUGCUUCGUCUUUGUUUCUGAGCAAAUAUACUUUAGUAUAUCUAGAAUAGUCAUCAAUAAAAGUUACAUAAUAUAUAUAUAUAUUUUUUAUUAAUAUAAGAAGCACUAACAUGUCCUAAUCUAACAUGCCAUAAAUCAAAAGAAUCAAGCAAAAAAGCACAAGAUGAUGUAUUUCCAUUUAUUAUUGCAAAAAUAUUGAGAAUAAAGAGUCUCUGAUUACAAUAACAUUUUUCAAUAAAAAUAUCAUUUUUAGUCAGUAUAAUUUUGUCUAACUCAAAGGACACCUUAAUCUCAUCAUUUCUCAAUAGUGUUACAGAAAUUAAAUUAGCUCUCAUAUUGGAUACAUGAAGUACCUCAUUAAGUGCCAAUGUCUUGUCAGAUGUGAGUUUGAGAAAAACUUUCCCUUUACUAAGGACACUUGCAGUCCUAGACUCACCCAAAUACACAUGUUCUUUUCCUUCCCCCACUAUAAAGUAGGAGGUAAAUGCAUUUCUGUUUGUACAAAUAUGCCUAGUAGCACCAAAAUCUACUACCCAUUCUAGCACAUUAGCUACAAGAAAAGUUUGAGAAAUAACCGCAGCAACAAUGUCAUCUCCUUCAACUAAAUUCAUUUUUGGUUUAGGAGGAUUGUCAUUUAUCACUCUUUUCCUUUUAAAGAUGAGAUUAUUAAACUUGAGUUUAUAAUCAGAUUUCUUGUUUUCAUACCUGUUAUUUGAUUUGUGCACUUUUUCUUUGUACAAGAUUUGCUCUUGUAGCCAACAUCCUUAGCAGUAUAUUUCAAGUUCAUUGAAUCUCAUAUUUUUUCAUUGAAUCCCAUAUUUCAUUGAAUCUCAUAUUUUCUUGGCUUCCUUGUAGGAACAGUAGUUAUCAAAGAAAUGGUUAAAAAGAGUACUGAUAAUUGUAUACCUACAUACCUUAUUAGAAUAGACCCAUAUUUCAUGCAAUUUUGGAUCAACAGCAGGUACAUGUCUUGAUUCUCAAUUUUUGAGAUGUGAGGACAGUAGACAGAAGAGACCCACCAUUUGCAAAAGUAAGAAGCGUGGCGGCGGAAAGAACAACAGAAGUAGUGGUAGUUAUAAUGUCAUUGGAGUAGGCAGUGCAGAAGCAAAGGCAGUGACAACAUUUGAUUCCAUUUGUGUAAAGAUAAAUCCUUAAGAUUGUUGAAAAUAUUGGAUAAAACAAUAAAACCUGAGUCGUGUUGAACACUGUCCUUAAGAAUUUAUUUUGUAAUCCCCAAAAUUAAACAGGUUUUUCUGAAAUAUACUUUCCAAGAAUCAAGACAACAAAAAUUUAUCUGAUUUAUAAUCUAGCAGGUAACACAGAAAAAAAAAAUAAUAAAAAAAAAUUGAGAGUUUAUAUAUUUGUAAAGACGAAAAUUAUUUAUUAUGAAAAUUUAACCGCUAUAUAUGAUUAUAAAUAUUUUAAAAUAAAAUCAUAACGGUCAUAUUUAAUAUUAUAUUUAAAUUUCAUAAAUAAAAUAUUUAAUGAUAAUAAAAUUUUUAAUGAAUAUAAAAUAUUCAACAAUUAUAAAAUUUUUAAUUAUCUUAAAAUUUUGGACUAUCAUAAAAUCUUCUAAACUAAUUUGUUACUUCACGAGUUGGUAGACCAAAUCUAGAUUGUUUUUCAGUAGGUGUUUGGGAGACGUCAUCAUCACCUGCCUCCGGGGUUUCAAACUCAAGAUUGACAAAUAAACAGAGGUUUGCGCUUUUUUUGGGACUCAACCUAACAUGGGGAAGGGAGGAAAAUAGAAACCUGAUUAUCGGGGAUUCCACGCACUCUUCCGGUCAGUGGUAGGCAAGUUAGUUUAGAUGAAAUCAUAAUAAAAUCUUUAUCAUCAAAUCAAUAGCAUAAGUAGUUAUGAAACUCAACAAAUUGAAGUCGAUUAUAACAGAUAAUUAUAGAAAAGAACGAAAGAGGAGGUGGGAAAAGUAGAUCAUAUUUAAGUUAAAAGGAGUUAUAACCAUAGACAACAACACUAAUCGAGUUCCCCUUCCAAAAGUACACAGAAGACCAAGUUAAGACCAGCAAAGCAGAAACACUUAACACAUAAAACAAGCCAUUCAGGAAAUUAAAUCCUCAUACAAGGAUUUUGAUUACCUAUGGCUGUUUUAUUUACAGCAGCAAGCCGACAACUAUUUUACAUAUUCAUUAACAAACCCUUUUGCAUCCGUUUUUUUGGGGAUUUAUUAAAAACAUCAAGUACAGGCUUUGCUAGGUCCAUGUCCAUGCUGCUUUCUCAUUUGCAGUUGCAUGGAUCACAGCUGCAGCUUGAUCCACACUUGCACCCAUUUCCACUCUCAGCACCAAAGUUCAUCUCAGUACCCUCAUAGGACCUGCAAAAACCACACUAGCUCUCAAUUCUUUGUACAAUCAAGAAUCUAACUUCGAUUUAGCUGCGCAAAUAGAAUUAUAGAAUUUCUCCGAACUCAAUUAAGGUCUCAAAUUCAAACCCAAAAUGAUUGUGAGUCUUACAUCUUAGGAGGUGCAACUCCUGCGAUGAGAGUCUCAGUUCUGGUGUUCUCUGAGAUGUCAGGGUAC
rnacentral:lncRNA from 1 species